rnacentral:tRNA from 1 species
GCCCGCUUAGCUCAGUGGUAGAGCGCGUCACUCGUAAUGAUGAGGUCGGUUGUUCAAGUCAGCCAGUGGGCA